rnacentral:misc_RNA from 1 species
GUGAGUCAUCGAAUCUUUGAACGCACAUUGCGCCCCUUGGUAUUCCGAGGGGCAUGCCUGUUCGAGCGUCAUUACAACCCUCAAGCACUGCUUGGUCUUGGGCUCCGCCGCUAACCCGGCGGGCCUUAAAAUGAGUGGCGGCGCCCUCAGGCUCUGAGCGUAGUAAAUUUCCUCGCUACGGAGUCCUGGCGACGGUGGCCAUCAACCCCCAACUCUCUAAGUUUGACCUCGGAUCAGGUAGGGAUACCCGCUGAACUUAAGCAUAUCAAUAAGCGGAGGA